CCUACGGGGGGCUGCAGUGAGGAAUACUGGUCAAUGGGCGUAAGCCUGAACCAGCCAAGUCGCGUGAGGGAUGAAGGUUCUAUGGAUCGUAAACCUCUUUUAUCAGGGAAUAAAGUGUGGGACGUGUCCUGUUUUGUAUGUACCUUAUGAAUAAGGAUCGGCUAACUCCGUGCCAGCAGCCGCGGUAAUACGGAGGAUCCGAGCGUUAUCCGGAUUUAUUGGGUUUAAAGGGUGCGUAGGCGGCCUUGUAAGUCAGCGGUGAAAGUCUGUGGCUCAACCAUAGAAUUGCCGUUGAAACUGGGAGGCUUGAGUAUGUUUGAGGCAGGCGGAAUGCGUGGUGUAGCGGUGAAAUGCUUAGAUAUCACGCAGAACCCCGAUUGCGAAGGCAGCCUGCCAAGCCAUGACUGACGCUGAUGCACGAAAGCGUGGGGAUCAAACAGGAUUAGAUACCCGGGUAGUC
rnacentral:rRNA from 1 species